rnacentral:rRNA from 1 species
AUUGAACGCUGGCGGCAUGCCUUACACAUGCAAGUCGAACGGCAGCACGGACUUCGGUCUGGUGGCGAGUGGCGAACGGGUGAGUAAUAUAUCGGAACAUACCUUGUAGUGGGGGAUAACUAUCCGAAAGGAUAGCUAAUACCGCAUACGAUCUAAGGAUGAAAGCGGGGGAUCUUCGGACCUCGUGCUAUAAGAGUGGCCGAUAUCUGGUUAGCUAGUUGGUGAGGUAAAGGCUCACCAAGGCGACGAUCAGUAGCUGGUCUGAGAGGACGACCAGCCACACUGGAACUGAGACACGGUCCAGACUCCUACGGGAGGCAGCAGUGGGGAAUUUUGGACAAUGGGGGCAACCCUGAUCCAGCAAUGCCGCGUGAGUGAAGAAGGCCUUCGGGUUGUAAAGCUCUUUUGUCAGGGAAGAAACGGUUGUGGCUAAUAUCCAUGGCUAAUGACGGUACCUGAAGAAUAAGCACCGGCUAACUACGUGCCAGCAGCCGCCGUAAUAC